rnacentral:rRNA from 1 species
GACGAACGCUGGCGGCGUGCUUAACACAUGCAAGUCGAACGGAAAGUCCCUGCUUUUGUGUGGUUCUCGAGUGGCGAACGGGUGAGUAACACGUGAGUAACCUCCCCUUGACUUUGGGAUAACUUCAGGAAACUGGGGCUAAUACCGGAUAGGAGCUCCUGCUGCAUGGUGGUGGUUGGAAAGUUUCGGCGGUUGGGGAUGGACUCGCGGCUUAUCAGCUUGUUGGUGGGGUAGUGGCUUACCAAGGCUUUGACGGGUAGCCGGCCUGAGAGGGUGACCGGCGACAUUGGGCCUGCGAUACGGAGCAGAAUCGUACGGGAGGCAGCAGUGGGGAAUAUUGCAGAAUGGGCGGACGCCUGAUGCAGAAACGCCGGGUGCGGGAUGACGGCCUUCGGGUUGUAAAACGCUUUCGCCUGUGACGAAGCGUGAGUGACGGUAAUGGGUAAAGAAGCACCGGCUAACUACGUG